rnacentral:lncRNA from 1 species
AUCGAACCCACAACCUCAUGGUUCCUAGUCAGAUUCAUUAGCCACUGAGCCACGACGGGAACUCCCCUGCAAAGGCAUAUUUAGAAGUCCACCUCCAAACAAACUUGAUGAAGCCAAAUAAAAACAAUUAAGGAAACAACUUAAAAUACUGCAAGCAAGUUUGAGUCAUCCCUUACUCUUAACAGGGUUCUUGGGCUGAGAUAUAUUCUGUGGAUAAGCAAUAUCAACGUCCACAUACCUGCAGCAAUCACUGAAAUGUGACGCUGACAUAACACAGCACAUACCAUUGUUCGCCAUCGCCAGCUUGGGAAGGCGUCUGUCCGCCCUCUCUCUCAUCCGUUGUGGAAAAGCCCGGAAGUCCAAGGGAUCCACAAAUCCCACCUGAGCCUCUUGAUACCUUCCCAUCCUUGAAGAGAGGCUCUUAUCAACCUGAAGAUUUGACCCAUGUUACUGGAGGAAGGAGAUGGAGCAUGAGUCUGUCUUUGCUGCAGUCAGAUUUCUAUGCUGACUCAGGAUGUUUUGCUUCACUCGGGUGAGUCACCUCUUUCCCGAACCAUUUGUUAGUAAACACGAACUUAAAAUCGGAAGCUCCCUUUAGUCUAAAGAUAGCUAGAGACUUGUCUUCACAUUGCAAAAUAAAAAAUAGUACAUCAUUUAAAUUUUCUUAAGU